rnacentral:rRNA from 1 species
GAUGAACGCUGGCGGCGUGCCUAAUACAUGCCAGUCGAGCGAACGGACGAGAAGCUUGCUUCUCUGAUGUUAGCGGCGGACGGGUGAGUAACACGUGGAUAACCUACCUAUAAGACUGGGAUAACUUCGGGAAACCGUAGCUAAUACCGGAUAAUAUUUUGAACCGCAUGGUUCAAAAGUGAAAGACGGUCUUGCUGUCACUUAUAGAUGGAUCCGCGCUGCAUUAUCUAGUUGGUAAGGUAACGGCUUACCAAGGCAACGAUGCAUAGCCGACCUGAGAGGGUGAUCGGCCACACUGGAACUGAGACACGGUCCAGACUCCUACGGGAGGCAGCAGUAGGGAAUCUUCCGCAAUGGGCGAAAGCCUGACGGAGCAACGCCUCGUGAGUGAUGAAGGUCUUCGGAUCGUAAAACUCUGUUAUUAGGGAAGAACAUAUGUGUAAGUAACUGUGCACAUCUUGACGGUACCUAAUCAGAAAGCCACGGCUAACUACGUG